rnacentral:rRNA from 1 species
GACGAACGCUGGCGGCGUGCCUAAUACAUGCAAGUAGGCCGCAGUUGCGAACGGGUGAGUAACGCGUAGGUAACUGCCUAUUAGAGGGGGAUAACUAUUGGAAACGUUAGCUAAUACCGCAUACUAGUAAAUGGUACUGCGUUGUAUUAGCUAGUAGGUAGGGUAAUGGCCUACCUAGGCAACGAUAGAUAGCCGACCUGAGAGGGUGAACGGCCACACGGUGGCUGGGACACGGCCCAGACUCCUACGGGAGGCAGCAGGAGGGAAUCUUCGGCAAUGGUGGGAACCCUGACCGAGCAACGCCGCGUGAGUGAAGAAGGUUUUCGGAUCGUAAAGCUCUGUUGUUAAGGAAGCGGUACUUAACCAGAAAGGGACGGCUAACUACGUGCCAGCAGCCGCGGUAAUAC